rnacentral:rRNA from 1 species
UACGGAGGGUGCAAGCGUUAUUCGGAAUCACUGGGCGUAAAGCGCGCGUAGGCGGCCUUGUAAGUCAGAUGUGAAAGCCCACGGCUCAACCGUGGAACUGCAUUUGAAACUGCGAGGCUUGAAUCCUGGAGAGGGUGGCAGAAUUCCUGGUGUAGGAGUGAAAUCCGUAGAUAUCAGGAGGAAUACCAGUGGCGAAGGCGGCCACCUGGACAGGCAUUGACGCUGAGGUGCGAAAGCGUGGGGAGCAAACAGG